GUUUUUUUUCCUUUUUGGAGACACCUGAUAGAAUUGGAACAGUAAAGUGAAGUUUAGCACGGCCCCUGCACAAGAAUAACACGCACAAAUCGAGAAAUAGUCCAAGUUUUG
rnacentral:snRNA from 1 species